GCAUUCUUGGGCGCUAGAGGCCCCAAGAAUUCUGGGGGGCAAUAGAUUUUACCAAGUAGAUUUAUCGAGAGAUUUGUUGGAGAGGUGUAAAGUGGGUAGCUAAUAAAUGUUCAGUGCGUUCCGUUUUAAACAUUCUUUCGUUAAUACACUGAAUUUGCAAUUUUUACGUACCAACCUGAGGGACAGUACAGUGCAGUUCCUAUCCGCAGCCCUACAGUGUGCAAAAAUAGACAGUGGGAAAAAUCUGCUCAUCAUGCUGAUCUGCACAAUGCUGGCUUCAUAUAAGUGACCUAUCAACAGACUACACAGUAUUAAAAGACUCUUCCCUUAUAAGGAAAUUUGUAGUUGAGGACUUUCUUUAGGUGACCCAUUGUAUCACAAAUAUUUUCCUGCUUCUUGUAACGUGGAACAUAGGAUGUCUUGAUGCCAACCAAGUGUCAUUGAAAGAUUGUAAAAAGAUGGUUCAGCAGGAAAAAACCUAUAGCUGGAGGAUGAUACAUUUGUUUCUUGUUACUAGUUUUGUAAACAAAGGGUAAAUUGGUAAAAUGAAACAACACAUGACCUAUUGCUUUAGAUCUAUUGUUUUCACAAAUGGAUAUCACCCAUGGCUUUGUGGAUGGGUUGCCUUGGAAGCUGAAGAUUUUGAAUCAAUCUCCAUUUUUGAAAACAAUUUAUUUAAAGUAAUAGGUCACACUCACAUGUUGUUUUACUUUACCGACUAUAUCGUAUUCAACGAUUUAUUAUAAUAUAUUUAUAAUAAUUUAUUUUUCCCUUUUAACUUGUGUAUAAGUUUGUAAACAUAAGUCUGGCUUAAAAAGUAAGACUUAAUUACUAAAAUAGAUUUCGAUAGAUGGCAGCGCAGAUGCAGAUUGGCAUUUGGCAGUGCAUCUAUGUUUUUUUUUGGUCCCGAUCUGGCAACGUCAAUGCGAUUAAACAUUCGUCUGAAGUUGUCCAUCGCUUAACAGAAGGAAGCAUGGGUCACCACGAAUAAUCUUCUGAUACGUAGUCCGUUUUUUUAAAAUCUGUUCAUUGUUUCAAUAUGGCUUUUCGUAAUUCCUUGGGUAUUGACACUCUCUAACCAACAAAGAAACUGCCUAUUCACGUUACUUUCAUCAAUUUUUUCAUAGCUGUACAUUAUUUAAUUAUAGAGAACAUCUUGCCAUUCAUAUGAAUGCCUUUGUCUGAUCUGAUCGUGUCAACAUGCUAAUUCCCUUCUUGCCACUGGUCGAAGCUUUCUUGUCAAAUUUUGUAUCUUUCCAUUUAAACGUAUCUCACAGAAGCAUUCUGGCAUGGGUCAGGAUAUAGGUAACAGAAAUGGCAUGGGUCCCUUUGGGUGUUGAGCCUGGCCUACACCCUCCGUGUUGGAACAAAUAAUAACAUGGAGGUGGAGCCUCAAUUUUGGACUUGAUUUGUCACCAUUGGCUGAUUUGGAAAAAUGGAUUGGACCAAUCAUUUUAUUCCCACACUCAUUGGAAUUUUGGCAUGGUAGCUGUUGCAGGACACUCUCCUUGGUUUGUUAGUGAGGUUUCAGAAAGCAGCAUUCCAAGAGCAAGAACCUAAUUUACCGGCUGUCAACCCAAUAUAGAUUAUUUAACUUUGUCUUCUUGCAUUGAUGAGAGAAAGCACAUGAGAAGAGUUAGUGAAAUGUGUCAACAGAGCAAAAUGCAAAACUUGAAUUGAAUUCAACAAAACUACUUUAAGUUUGCAGUGGCAAAAAUGUAAAGUUGGUGGCAGGAUAAUGGCUAUCAGUGUUGAGAAUUUGAAUUGCAAAUUUGAAUUUGCUAGGUAUAAGUACAUAAGUACUUGUUGCCCUAUAUAUUACAAAAUGAUAAUUUAAGUUGGUAUAUCUUGAAAUUGGUUUUCUUUUUCAAUACUAAAAUUCAAUACAAAGAUAUAAAUGGAA